AAAAAAAUAGAAGAUGUGAAAGAAAAUGAGCGGAGAAAAGCAACUGAAGAACUGGAAGCCUGGAAGGAAUGUCAGAGAAACGCUGGAGGACACGAGGGAGCUCGGAGAGAAGAGGAGGCAGGUCAAAGGGGAAAGCCGGUGGGAGAAAGAAGAAAGUUAAAGCAUCAGAGUCUUCCUGGAAGUUUGACAUCUAGACACAGUGCAGCAAAAGGAAGAGACUGGGGAAGCAUAUUUCCUGCGGAGCGGGAGGAGGAACGCGUCCCUGCGCCCCGCCCGGCCGGCAGCAUCACGGUCAGCUUCACCCCACGCGUGUUCCCCACGGCGCUGCGCGAGUCCCAGGCGGCCCUGGAGGAGGAGGUGAGGCAGCUGCCUAGGGUGCUUACUUUGCUUCAUGGGCUGGAAGGAGUGCUGGUUUCGAAUUUAUUUUAUCUUUUGAAGGGUAAAAAUUUUAUUUUACUUUUGGGGUUUUUUGUUGUUGUCUUUUUGAGACAGGGUCUCACUAUGCAGUUCAGACUGGCCUUGAGCUCACUUUGUAGCCCAGGCUGGUCUCGAACUCGAAAUGAUCCUCCUGCCUCAGCUUCCUGAGUGCUGGGAUUACAGGUGUGCACCACCAUGGCCAGCUCAAAAUUUUUAUUUUUGAGAAAUUUUUUACUGUACAUUUUGAAAAAGAGUCACAAAAAAGCAAAAAUGUUGGUCUCCC
rnacentral:lncRNA from 1 species